rnacentral:misc_RNA from 1 species
GACGGAGGGCGCGAGCGUUGUUCGGAAUUACUGGGCGUAAAGCGCGCGCAGGCGGAUAGGCAAGUCGGACGUGAAAGGCUGGGGCUCAACCCUGGGAUGGCGUCCGAUACUGCUUGUCUGGGGACCGGUAGAGGCCGGUGGAAUUGCUGGUGUAGCGGUGGAAUGCGUAGAGAUCAGCAAGAACACCCGUGGCGAAGGCGGCCGGCUGGGCCGGAUCCGACGCUGAGGCGCGAAAGCGUGGGGAGCAAACAGG